AAAUACGAGGUCAGGGGGUGUGUUUCCGGCUUUGACCUCAGAAAAAAGAUGUCUGAGGUAAAUAUAAC